ACUUUCAUUUGGUAUUGGACUCAUCGGAGACGCGGAUCUCCUCCAAGACGACGACGUGGCAGAAUCUCUGCACUCAGUGAACCUGAAGAAUGAUGACGAUCAUCUUCUAUUCCGUGAUUUUUGCUCUGAUUGCUACUUUAUCACACAAAUUUCUCACAGGCGAUGCUUUACCAAAAGGGAAUCAUGGUAACGGUUGUUUGCCCCGGGCCAAUAGAGACAUCAAAUGCACCUGAUACGAGCACCUCUGGGCAAAGGGGAGUCAGGGAGAAACGAGUAUCGUCAGAGAGGUGUGCAGAGCUUACACUAGUUGCUGCAAGCCAUGGUCUGAAGGAAGCUUGGAUAUCUUUUCAGGUACUUGUGUCGGUAUUAUGAGCAAAUUAUAAUUUGCAGACAUCUACAAAUAUUGUUGGCUUUAAGCUGUAUUGCCAUAUCCCUAUUAUUUACAUGUUAAACAUAUUGUUUUGAGCAGAGGCUAUGAUUAUUUGUCA